AUGAUCUUUAAGGUUCUGACCCAAUCAUUCUGUGAUUCCAUGAUCUUUAAAGUCCCUUCCAACCCAGCCUCUCCAUGAUUCCAUGAUCUUCAAGGUCCCUUCCAACCCAACCACUCCAUGAUUCCAUGAUCUUUAAGAUUCCCUUCCAACCCAACCCAACCAUGAUUCCAUGUUCUUCAAGGUCCCUUCCAACCCAACCAUACCACGACUUCACGAUCUUUAAGGUCCCCUUCAACACAACUGUUCUGUGAUUCCAUGAUUCUCUAUUUCUCA